rnacentral:snoRNA from 1 species
GCACCAAAGUACAGCCCAGUCGAUUGUCUGUUUGGCGAGGGUCAUGCUGGUGCCAGAGAGACUCAACGUGAAUCCAGAUGGUUCUCCUCUCCUCGUGGAGGCCGUCUCUACACCUUUGAUACAGCG